UGCCAGCCGCCGCGGUAAUACGGAGGGUGCAAGCGUUGUUCGGAAUUAUUGGGCGUAAAGCGCGUGUAGGCGGUUCGUUAAGUCUGAUGUGAAAGCCCGGGGCUCAACCCCGGAAGUGCAUUGGAAACUGGCAGGCUAGAGUCUGGGAGGGGAUAGCGGAAUUCCGGGUGUAGAGGUGAAAUUCGUAGAUAUCCGGAGGAACACCAGAGGCGAAGGCGGCUAUCUGGACCAGUACUGACGCUGAGGAGCGAAAGCGUGGGGAGCAAACAGGAUUAGAUA
rnacentral:rRNA from 1 species